rnacentral:tRNA from 1 species
UAGAUGGAGGCUUGUUGUUUGAGCGCUUAGCUGUUGACUAAGAGGUUGUAGGAUCGAGGCCUGCCCAUCUAG